AUUGAACGCUGGCGGCAGGCCUAACACAUGCAAGUCGAGCGGAGCGGCGGACGGGGGAGUAAUGCCUAGGAAUCUGCCUGGUAGUGGGGGAUAACGACCGGAAAGGGGCGCUAAUACCGCAUACUAUCAGAUACCCCUAGGUCGGAUUAGCUAGUUGGUGGGGUAAAGGCCUACAAGGGCGACGAUCCGUAACUGGUCUGAGAGGAGGACCAGUCACCCUGGAACUGAGACCAGGUCCAUACUCCUACGGGAGGCAGCAGUGGGGAAUAUUGGACAAUGGGCGAAAGCCUGAUCCAGCCAUGCCGCGUGUGUGAAGAAGGUCUUCGGAUUGUAAAGCACUUUAAGUUGGGAGGCGUUACCAACAGAAUAAGCACCGGCUAACUUCGUGCCAGCAGCCGCGGUAAUAC
rnacentral:rRNA from 1 species